rnacentral:rRNA from 1 species
UAUGUGAUCGUCUCUCGCAUAUCAAUAAGCGGAGGAAAAGAAACUAACAAGGAUUCCCCUAGUAACGGCGAGUGAAGCGGGAAGAGCUCAAAUUUGAAAUCUUAAAGGGUUUCCCUUUACGAAUUGUAGUUUAAAGAAGUGUUUUCUGCUGAAGUUUUGGUAAAAGUUCUUUGGAAUAGGACAUCAUAGAGGGUGAGAAUCCCGUAUUUGACCAUUAUUUUCAGCUUUGUGAUACACUUUCAAAGAGUCGGAUUGUUUGGGAAUGCAGUCCAAAAUGGGUGGUAAAUUUCAUCUAAAGCUAAAUAUUGGCGAGAGACCGAUAGCGAACAAGUACCGUGAGGGAAAGAUGAAAAGAACUUUGAAAAGAGAGUUAAACAGUACGUGAAAUUGUCAAAAGGGAAGCGUUUGACACCAGUGUUGUUUUUCUGAAAAUCAAUUAAAGAACUGUUUAUGCUAAGUUGUUUAGACUUUAUCAGCUAACUGUUUAGUUUUGAGCUUUUCUUUAAUGCACUUUUCAGUUAACAAGUCAACAUCAAUUUCUUUUGCUGUAAAAAAGCUUGAGGAAGGUGGCUUGAGAUUCGUCUUAAGUGUUUAUAGCCUCUUGCCUAUGCAGUCGGAGAGAUUGAGGUCUGCAGCGUAGAUCCUUCGGGGCUAAAUGCAUUUGUGCUAAGUUAUAGCAUUUUAUAGACAACUUGUUGACUAUGAUUUGUCUUGUAGCUUACUCGCUUAUGUUAUUUUACCUACGCUUAGGAUGUUGAGUCAUCACACAUCUCU